rnacentral:lncRNA from 1 species
AUCUCUGCAACACUAGAAUUAAUAGGGAAAGCAUAUUGAAAAGAAAAUUCAAAACCCAUAAUCAAAAUCAAUAAUCAAGAAGAAUGUAUUAAAGCAAUCAAGAUUAUAGAUCAAGAAAUCAAAGUCAACAGCAAGAAAUUAAGAAUCAAGAGAUGCAAUGUUCAAGAUUAAGGAAUAAGAGAUCGAACAUGAAGAAAUUCUAGUAGAUCCUGAAGAUUCAAGAUCCAAAAAUAAAAAAUUAUUUCCAAAGAAGUAAGGUAUGGUCUGCAUUAAUUAAUUAUUAUUAUUAUUAUUAUUUUUUUUUGUGAUUUGACAUGAAGGAUCUUGACAAUAGAGGAAUUUAAGUUUUCAAGUUCUAAAGUUUUUAGUUUUAAAGUUUCAACAAGUGGUAUUAAAGGCAAUUCAUGUUGAACCAUUGAGAAUAAAUAAGACUUUUUAGGGUUGGAAUUUAUAUUUUGGAUUUCAAAACUUUUAGAUGAGAAUUUCAAAUUUUAGGAUUUUUUGAGAAUUUUUAAAAAAAUUCUGGUUAAAAUGGUAGUUGCUGCGUUGCCCGACGGCUACCAAAAAAGCAGUACUGGUUCUAUGUCCGGCAGUAAAUUUUUUUUAUUAAAAUUAAAGAAAAGGAAAAAAUAAUAAAAUAAAACGGGACAAUUAAAUUUCUGAUCUUGGUACUAAAAUUUAUUUCGGAUUACCAAUUUUCUAAAAUAAAUUAAUUGAAACCAGAGUAAAGUCUAUUGCCUAGAUUAAUUUAUUUAGAAUAUUAGGAUAAUUGUGUGUAUGUAGUUCAUGAGGAUAUUCACCGGUUGAAAGAUACAUAAAUGUUUAACCAAAUUGCACGCACACAUAUGAUAAUAAAUAUGUGACAAUUUUAAAGUUUUUAUUAUUUGAACAUUGAGUCAAUCCAAAGAUAGACUUGAUGUUUGAUCAGAUUUAUUGUCAAAUUUUGAUUAUUAUAUCAUGAGUACUAUUUAUAAGUUGAUAUUUAUAUCCAAAGACUAAAUAUCAAUAUUGUGCUCGGUCUCUUGUGAUUGAGCCCACAAUUAUUUUAAAUUAUUGAUUAUCUAAUAUGGAUUUUCAUUUGAACAUGUCAUUUGGGUUUAAUGUAUCUACUUCUACAAUAUCUGCCAACUAUUCAAUUAAAUUUCUACACUUGAACCAUAGUUUAAUGGUUGGAAAAAGAACAUUGGCAUCAUUCUUGGCGGUAUGAUCUAGACAUUGUGUUAAGGAUUGAACAACCCACUAUUCUUACAAAUAAGAGUUCCGCUAAUAAAAUGAAACUCGAAUUAGUGGGGUCGUUCAAACAACAUAAGUCUUAUGAUCACGAAACAUGGAAUUUCAACAACAUUCAGUGGCCAUGUCUAAUAAGAUAACUACUGCUAAGUAGUUUCUCAAGGGGAAAAAAAAAGCUUUGUAAAAAGCAAUAUGGCCAAAACAAGCACACUUUAGUGAACCUAGUUUCACUAAAGUAUAAGGGUAAAGAAAACAUAAGGAAAUAUAUCAUGGAGGUGUCUCAUCUCACUUCAAAAUUAAAGGCAUUAAGUUUGAACUCUCCUAUGACUUGCUCUUGCAUUUGAUUUUGAUUCAAGUUUAUGCAUGAUUUCUUAAAAGAAUAAGGUAGGACCAAUUAGAAAUAAACAUGUUUGGAUCACAUUGCAUGUAAUUUUCAUGUUACAUAUCCAUACUUGAUCUAUGUCAUUCGAUUGUAUUGAUAUACGUAACAAUUGAUGGAUUUAGUUAUGAUACUUAUAACAAAGACCGCUUUGAUCUUAUAUUGAUAUAAUCAUUGGACAAGAUUGUUUGGAGAUGCUUUUGAUUAUGAUAGCAAAAGUUUUGACAUUAUAAAGUUAUACACAUUUAUAAGGUAACAUAUGUGGCCAAAGUGGGAGAUUGUGGGGUUUAUUAUUUGUCAUAUGAGCCUACAUAUGAAAUUAAUUGUAUAUAAUGUUAUCUUAAAGUUAAGCCCAAAAUUAUAGUGAUUUAAUAAAAAAUUAAAUUAUUAGGUUUAGGGCAUCUAAAUAAAGUAUGUGCCGAAUUAUAUGUGUAAAGACCAUAUUUCUUUAUAAUUGUAUUCCAUGAUAGGCAAAAUACGUAUGAAAACUAUAUAUCCCUUUGUGAUCCCAAAUUCAUAUGUAAUAUUCUCAUUUUUUGUGUUAUCUCAUCAAUACAAAAAUAAAUAGAGAAAAUAUAUUAAAGAGGAAGGUUCAAGACCCACAAUCAAGAUCAAUAAUCAAGAAGGUAUUGAAGUAAUCAAAAUCAUAGAUCAAGGAGUCAAAGUCAAGAACAAGAAUUCAAGAAUGAAAAGAGGCAAUAUUCAAGAUUAAAGAUUAAGAGACCAAACAUGAAGAGAUUCCAAUAGAUCUUCAAGAUUCAAGAUCCGAAAUUUAAAUUUAGUAACAAAGAAUCAUUCUCAAAGAAUUA